rnacentral:sRNA from 1 species
GCCCGGUAGGCGAGGCAACCGCAAGGAUAUGGAUUGCUGCCGCGAAGUCGUGGAGACACGACCAGCUGGUCAACAGGUUCCGUCGAAACCAAGGCGGAAUCUAACGCAAUUUCAACGCCCUGCGGCGCUGAAGCUCGGACGGUGGU